UUCCUCACAGAGACAUUUCCUGGCUCUAAAUAGCUUUGAAGUAUUUUAAAACAGCUGAAAAGUUCGUGAUCAAUUACGACAAAGCCAAAAUAAUUACGGACGCCUGUGCCUCGUAAAUGAGGUAAGGUCUGACCAGGUUGUUUUCAGGUGAUCCGAAGAACAGCCUCCCAUACACCACCACUAAAUACAUGGACUUUCCAGCAAACAAGGUGAAUACCAAAGGCAAAAGCGGCCUUGGGAGGGAAGAGGACUUGGUGACAUCCAGGUUACACUGACACAAGCACAACUGUUACAGGAGAAGAAAUCAGUGCAGCAGCUUACAAUUUUUUGUUAUUUGUCAAAAGAAAAAUAGAGAACUACUACGCAGUCAAUACUCAGCAAUGGAGUCCCAGGAAUAUUAUGAAGAACAGAGGGAUAAAGGAAAAAGAAAGAAGGAAAACAAUUGACUGAAUCCACUUUAAUAGACGGAUUGUAGCCUUUGAGAAUGUCAAUUUUAAAUUUAAAGUUUUCCAAAAUAUUUGGAAGAAGCACAAGAAUGGUUGAAGUGUGAACUUCCAUAUACUCAAGAAAAUCCAAGCAAAAGCUGAAACAACAAGCAGCAACAAUCAAAAGUGGGUAAUGACAUAGAUUCAGAGCUAAGUUUACCUCACUGUACGCUGUGUGACUUCUAUUUCUUACUGUGGCAUUCAGAAUGAUACAUCAGAACUUUUUUUUCUUUUUAACCAAGUGUAUCUUUAAGCCUGUUUUCCUCUCCCCUCUCGGUUCAGUUUAAAGAAACAAAGUUAGGAUUUGGC
rnacentral:lncRNA from 1 species